UACGAAGGGAGCUAGCGUUGUUCGGAAUUACUGGGCGUAAAGGGCGCGUAGGCGGCCCGCUAAGUCGAACGUGAAAUCCCCGGGCUCAACCCGGGAACUGCGUCCGAUACUGGCAGGCUUGAAUCCGGGAGAGGGAUGCGGAAUUCCAGGUGUAGCGGUGAAAUGCGUAGAUAUCUGGAGGAACACCGGUGGCGAAGGCGGCAUCCUGGACCGAUACUGACGCUGAGGAGCGAAAGCCAGGGGAGCAAACGGG
rnacentral:rRNA from 1 species